AACGUAGGAGGCAAGCGUUAUCCGGAUUUAUUGGGCGUAAAGGGCGUCUAGGCGGUGUCUUAAGUUGGGCGUAAAAUCUCUCGGCUUAACCGGGAGGCGCCGUCCAAUACUGGGGCACUUGAGGGCAGGAGAGGAAAGUGGAAUUCCCGGUGUAGUGGUGGAAUACUUAGAUAUCGGGAGGAACACCAGUGGCGAAAGCGGCUUUCUGGCCUGUACCUGACGCUAAAGCGCGAAAGCGUGGGUAGCGAACGGG
rnacentral:rRNA from 1 species